rnacentral:tRNA from 2 species
GCGGGCGUGGCGGAAUGGCAGACGCGCUGGACUUAGGAUCCAGUGGGGUAACUCCCGUGAAGGUUCAAGUCCUUUCGCCCGCACCA